rfam:Asian citrus Psyllid, Diaphorina citri - Florida Strain, whole genome shotgun sequence.
GCCUAGUUAGCUUAGUUGGUAGUGCGUCUGCCUUGUAGGCGCUAGGCCGCGGGUUCGAUUCCCGCCCGAGGCG